UACGUAGGGAGCGAGCGUUAUCCGGAUUUACUGGGUGUAAAGGGAGCGUAGACGGUUAAUCAAGUCUGAAGUGAAAGCCCGCGGCUCAACUGCGGAACGGCUUUGGAAACUGAGUAACUGGAGUGCUGGAGGGGCAGGCGGAAUUCCUGGUGUAGCGGUGAAAUGCUUAGAUAUCACGAAGAACCCCGAUUGCGAAGGCAGCCUGCCGCAGCGUUACUGACGCUGAAGCUCGAAAGCGCGGGUAUCGAACAGG
rnacentral:rRNA from 1 species